GACGAACGCUGGCGGCGUGCUUAACACAUGCAAGUCGAACGGAAAGGCCCUGCUUGCAGGGUACUCGAGUGGCGAACGGGUGAGUAACACGUGGGUGAUCUGCCCUGCACUUCGGGAUAAGCCUGGGAAACUGGGUCUAAUACCGGAUAGGAGCCAUUUUUAGUGUGAUGGUUGGAAAGUUUUUUCGGUGUAGGAUGAGCUCGCGGCCUAUCAGCUUGUUGGUGGGGUAAUGGCCUACCAAGGCGGCGACGGGUAGCCGGCCUGCGAGGGUGGACGGCCACAUUGGGACUGAGAUACGGCCCAGACUCCUACGGGAGGCAGCAGGGGGGAAUAUUGCACAAUGGGCGCAAGCCGGAUGCAGCGACGCCGCGUGGGGGAUGACGGCCUUCGGGUUGUAAACUCCUUUCGCUAGGGACGAAGCUUUUUGUGACGGUACCUAGAUAAGAAGCACCGGCUAACUACGUG
rnacentral:rRNA from 1 species